rnacentral:lncRNA from 1 species
UAAAAUGAGUAAAACUCCAUUUUGACAGAAUAAAUGUUAACAAGACAAAACUCACAAAAUAAAAAGAGAUAAUGAUGGAACUUACUCAACUAUCGCACAAUUGGCAUAACAAGCAUCAAAGAAUUCCCAAUUAACAUAGAAUCAAGUAGCAACAAGCAAAAAUAAAAGAAAGAAAGAAAAGAAUGAACUAAGAACUUAGAAAAAAA